rnacentral:rRNA from 1 species
UACGAAGGGGGCUAGCGUUGCUCGGAAUUACUGGGCGUAAAGCGCACGUAGGCGGUCUUUUAAGUCGGGGGUGAAAUCCUGGAGCUCAACUCCAGAACUGCCUUCGAUACUGGAAGACUCGAGUCCGGGAGAGGUGAGUGGAACUGCGAGUGUAGAGGUGAAAUUCGUAGAUAUUCGCAAGAACACCAGUGGCGAAGGCGGCUCACUGGCCCGGUACUGACGCUGAGGUGCAAAAGCGUGGGGAGCAAACAGG